rnacentral:rRNA from 1 species
CGUGAAGAGGGAAACAACCCAGACCGCCAGCUAAGGUCCCAAAGUCAUGGUUAAGUGGGAAACGAUGUGGGAAGGCCCAGACAGCCAGGAUGUUGGCUUAGAAGCAGCCAUCAUUUAAAGAAAGCGUAAUAGCUCACUGGUCGAGUCGGCCUGCGCGGAAGAUGUAACGGGGCUAAACCAUGCACCGAAGCUGCGGCAGCGACGCUUAUGCGUUGUUGGGUAGGGGAGCGUUCUGUAAGCCUGCGAAGGUGUGCUGUGAGGCAUGCUGGAGGUAUCAGAAGUGCGAAUGCUGACAUAAGUAACGAUAAAGCGGGUGAAAAGCCCGCUCGCCGGAAGACCAAGGGUUCCUGUCCAACGUUAAUCGGGGCAGGGUGAGUCGACCCCUAAGGCGAGGCCGAAAGGCGUAGUCGAUGGGAAACAGGUUAAUAUUCCUGUACUUGGUGUUACUGCGAAGGGGGGACGGAGAAGGCUAUGUUGGCCGGGCGACGGUUGUCCCGGUUUAAGCGUGUAGGCUGGUUUUCCAGGCAAAUCCGGAAAAUCAAGGCUGAGGCGUGAUGACGAGGCACUACGGUGCUGAAGCAACAAAUGCCCUGCUUCCAGGAAAAGCCUCUAAGCAUCAGGUAACAUCAAAUCGUACCCCAAACCGACACAGGUGGUCAGGUAGAGAAUACCAAGGCGCUUGAGAGAACUCGGGUGAAGGAACUAGGCAAAAUGGUGCCGUAACUUCGGGAGAAGGCACGCUGAUAUGUAGGUGAAGUCCCUCGCGGAUGGAGCUGAAAUCAGUCGAAGAUACCAGCUGGCUGCAACUGUUUAUUAAAAACACAGCACUGUGCAAACACGAAAGUGGACGUAUACGGUGUGACGCCUGCCCGGUGCCGGAAGGUUAAUUGAUGGGGUUAGCGCAAGCGAAGCUCUUGAUCGAAGCCCCGGUAAACGGCGGCCGUAACUAUAACGGUCCUAAGGUAGCGAAAUUCCUUGUCGGGUAAGUUCCGACCUGCACGAAUGGCGUAAUGAUGGCCAGGCUGUCUCCACCCGAGACUCAGUGAAAUUGAACUCGCUGUGAAGAUGCAGUGUACCCGCGGCAAGACGGAAAGACCCCGUGAACCUUUACUAUAGCUUGACACUGAACAUUGAGCCUUGAUGUGUAGGAUAGGUGGGAGGCUUUGAAGUGUGGACGCCAGUCUGCAUGGAGCCGACCUUGAAAUACCACCCUUUAAUGUUUGAUGUUCUAACGUUGACCCGUAAUCCGGGUUGCGGACAGUGUCUGGUGGGUAGUUUGACUGGGGCGGUCUCCUCCUAAAGAGUAACGGAGGAGCACGAAGGUUGGCUAAUCCUGGUCGGACAUCAGGAGGUUAGUGCAAUGGCAUAAGCCAGCUUGACUGCGAGCGUGACGGCGCGAGCAGGUGCGAAAGCAGGUCAUAGUGAUCCGGUGGUUCUGAAUGGAAGGGCCAUCGCUCAACGGAUAAAAGGUACUCCGGGGAUAACAGGCUGAUACCGCCCAAGAGUUCAUAUCGACGGCGGUGUUUGGCACCUCGAUGUCGGCUCAUCACAUCCUGGGGCUGAAGUAGGUCCCAAGGGUAUGGCUGUUCGCCAUUUAAAGUGGUACGCGAGCUGGGUUUAGAACGUCGUGAGACAGUUCGGUCCCUAUCUGCCGUGGGCGCUGGAGAACUGAGGGGGGCUGCUCCUAGUACGAGAGGACCGGAGUGGACGCAUCACUGGUGUUCGGGUUGUCAUGCCAAUGGCACUGCCCGGUAGCUAAAUGCGGAAGAGAUAAGUGCUGAAAGCAUCUAAGCACGAAACUUGCCCCGAGAUGAGUUCUCCCUGACUCCUUGAGAGUCCUGAAGGAACGUUGAAGACGACGACGUUGAUAGGCCGGGUGUGUAAGCGCAGCGAUGCGUUGAGCUAACCGGUACUAAUGAACCGUGAGGCUUAACCUU